AACAAGAUAUUAGAAUCAGGCCGGGGCGUAUCGCGCUCCGUAAACACGGUCGUACAUCCAGCCGGUAGCCUGAUUCCUUGCAUUGAGUGAUGUACGGAGUUUAUAGAGC
rnacentral:ncRNA from 1 species